GUCUACGGCCAUACCACCCUAAACGUGCCUGAUCUCAUCUGAUCUCUGAAGCUAAGCAGGGUCAGGCCUAGUUAGCACUUAUACAAGAGACACAAAUGUCAGUGGAGGGCUGGGAAUUUAGUUC
ensembl:rRNA 5S_rRNA 5S ribosomal RNA